AAGCAACGCGAAGAACCUUACCAGGUCUUGACAUCCUCUGACACUCCUAGAGAUAGGACUUUCCCCUUCGGGGGACAGAGUGACAGGUGGUGCAUGGUUGUCGUCAGCUCGUGUCGUGAGAUGUUGGGUUAAGUCCCGCAACGAGCGCAACCCUUAUUCUUAGUUGCCAGCAUUCAGUUGGGCACUCUAAGGAGACUGCCGGUGACAAACCGGAGGAAGGUGGGGAUGACGUCAAAUCAUCAUGCCCCUUAUGACCUGGGCUACACACGUGCUACAAUGGAUGGUACAAAGGGCUGCGAGACCGCGAGGUUUAGCCAAUCCCAUAAAACCAUUCUCAGUUCGGAUUGUAGGCUGCAACUCGCCUACAUGAAGCCGGAAUCGCUAGUAAUCGCGGAUCAGCAUGCCGCGGUGAAUACGUUCCCGGGUCUUGUACACACCGCCCGUCACACCACGAGAGUUUGUAACACCCGAAGUCGGUGGGGUAACCGCAAGGAGCCAGCCGCCUAAGGUGG
rnacentral:rRNA from 1 species